AUGAAGUUGAACAUCGCGAACCCCACCACGGGGUGCCAGAAGAAGGUGGAGAUCGAUGACGACAUGAAGCUGCGGAACCUUUAUGACAAGAGGAUCUCCCAGGAGGUAGUUGGUGAUCUUCUGGGUGAGGAAUUCGAGGGCUAUAUUUUCAAGAUCAUGGGUGGCUGUGAUAAGCAGGGUUUCCCAAUGAAGCAAGGAGUGCUAACUCCUGGGCGUGUUCGCCUUCUGCUUCACAGGGGCACAUCUUGCUUCCGUGGACAUGGCAGGCGUGUUGGUGAGCGCCGGAGGAAGUCUGUCCGUGGUUGCAUUGUCAGCCAAGACCUAUCUGUUAUCAACUUGGUGAUUGUCAAGAAGGGCAAGAAUGAUCUGCCAGGCCUGACCGACACUGAGAAGCCCAGGAUGAGGGGACCCAAGAGGGCUUCCAAGAUCAAGAAGCUCUUCAACCUUGGCAAGGAUGAUGAUGUCCGCCAGUAUGUCAACACAUACCGCAGGUCCUUCACAAACAAGAAGGGCAAGACCGUCAGCAAGGCUCCCAAGAUCCAGCGUCUUGUGACACCGUUGACCCUCCAGAGGAAGCGCGCGAGAAUCGCCGACAAGAAGAAGAGGAUCGCGAAGAAGAAGUCAGAGGCUGCAGAGUACCAGAAGCUGCUUGCGCAGAGGCUGAAGGAGCAAAGAGACCGCCGGAGCGAGAGCAUGGCCAAGAGGAGGUCAAAGCUUUCUGCUGCUACCAAGGCUCCUGCUGCCUCUGCUUAA
rnacentral:rRNA from 1 species